rnacentral:rRNA from 1 species
GAUGAACGCUAGCUACAGGCUUAACACAUGCAAGUCGAGGGGUAACGAGAGGAAAGCUUGCUUUCCUUGUCGACGACCGGCGCACGGGUGAGUAACGCGUAUCCAACCUGCCCCCAACUAGGGAAUAACCUUGCGAAAGUAAGACUAAUACCCUAUAAUUUCCUCAGAUGUCAUCUGACGAGGAAUAAAGAUUUAUCGGUUGUGGAUGGGGAUGCGUAUGAUUAGCUUGUUGGAGGGGUAACGGCCCACCAAGGCAACGAGCAGUAGGGGUUCUGGUAGGAAGGUCCGCCACAUUGGAACUGAGACACGGUCCAAACUCCUACGGGAGGCAGCAGUGAGGAAUAUUGGUCAAUGGGCGAAAGCUUGAACCAGCCAAGUAGCGUGCAGGAUGACGGCGCUAUGGGUUGUAAACUGCUUUUAUACAGGAAUAAAGUUAGCCACGUGUUGUUAUUUGUAGAUACUGUAUGAAUAAGGACCGGCUAAUUCCGUGCCAGCCGCCGCCGUAA